rnacentral:rRNA from 1 species
AUUGAACGCUGGCGGCAGGCCUAACACAUGCAAGUCGAACGAGUGGCGGACGGGUGAGUAAUGUCUGGUAAACUGCCCGAUGGAGGGGGAUAACUACUGGAAACGGUAGCUAAUACCGCAUACCAUCGGAUGUGCCCAGAUGGGAUUAGCUAGUCGGUGGGGUAAUGGCUCACCUAGUCGACGAUCCCUAGCUGGUCUGAGAGUAUGACCAGCCACACGGCAACUGAGACACGCUCCAGAACCCUACGGGAGGCAGAAGUGGGGAAUAUUACACAAGGGGCGCAAGCCUGAUGCAGCCAUGCCGCGUGUAUGAAGAAGGCCUUAGGGUUGUAAAGUACUUUCAGCGAGGAGGCGUUACUCGCAGAAGAAGCACAGGCUAACUCCGUGCCAGCAGCCGCGGUAAUUC